GCUGAGGAUUGCAGUAUCCGCUGUUGCUGCUGCUCCCAGUCCUGCCCCUGCUCCUACCUAGUCCUGCCUCACCGCAUCCCAGAAGAGCCACGUCGGCUUUCCUUUGCCUGGUGGAUUUUCAAAAGCUGCCUUUCGGUUUUGGGUGCUGUAGGAGACCAUGCUUUUCAAUCACACUGGAGAAAACUGAAAACUGAAUCCUGAAUCUGGCAGCUGGACACAGCUCGGACUGCAUUGUCUGGCUUCAUGACCCCUGCUGUGUAGCCAGCUCAUCUCUCCACUCACAACCACACUCUCCUUGAUUUUCUUCCUUCCUUUUUUUCCCCCCUCAUUCUUCUAAUUUUUUAAAAAGCAGCUUCUGGAGCCAGCCAUGUUUGGCACUGAAUCUUCA
rnacentral:lncRNA from 1 species